UUGAAACCGUAUCGUGAUGGGGAUAGAACAUUGCAAUUAUUGUCUUCAACGAGGAAUGCCUAGUAAGCGCGAGUCAUCAUCUCGCGUUGAUUACGUCCCUGCCCUUUGUACACACCGCCCGUCGCUCCUACCGAUUGAGCGUGCUGGUGAAGCGUUAGGACUGGAACUUUGGGCCGGUUUCCUGCCCAUCGUCUCGGGAAUUUCGUUGAACCCCUCCCGUUUAGAGGAAGGAGAAGUCGUAACAAGGUCUCCGUAGGUGAACCUGCGGAGGGAUCAUUGAAACCGAUCAAACCAAUCCCAGAGAACUUGCGGGCUUCGGCCCGCCGUACACGGAACCGCCCGGUGGGGGCGGGGGGGGGACACCCCCCCCCCCCCCCAUCCCCCCGCCGAGCGGCGCCGACAACCCAUGAAACCCUCCGCCCUGAAGCAGCUUCGUACGGGGACACCCCUGCGAUCUAACAGAGACAACUCUCAACAACGGAUAUCUUGGCUCUCGCAACGAUGAAGAACGCAGCGAAAUGCGAUACGUAGUGUGAAUUGCAGAAUUCCGUGAGUCAUCGAAUCUUUGAACGCACAUUGCCGGUCGAGUCUUCGGAUGAGACCACAUCUGCCUCAGCGUCGGAAUAACCCCUCACGCGCUUGCGCGUGGACCUGGCCCCCCCGGUCACUGGCCCCCGUGCCAGCCGGGCCGGCUGAAAUACAGAGGCUCGCGCGCGGCCCAUUCGCGGCCCCGACUAGGUAGGUAGCUCGCUACUCCUACGGCGGAGGCUCGGCGUCGCGUGCUGUGAGCCACGAAGGAUACCCACUAUUCAUUCGACCUGAGUUCAGGUGAGGCUACCCGCUGAACUUAAGCAUAUCAAUAAGC
rnacentral:rRNA from 1 species